AUACGGAAGGUCCGGGCGUUAUCCGGAUUUAUUGGGUUUAAAGGGAGCGCAGGCGGGCCUUUAAGCGUGACGUGAAAUGUAGCCGCUCAACGGCUGAACUGCGUCGCGAACUGGAGGUCUUGAGUGGGUGCGACGUCAGCGGAAUUCGUGGUGUAGCGGUGAAAUGCUUAGAUAUCACGAAGAACCCCGAUUGCGAAGGCAGCUGGCGAGUCCCUUACUGACGCUAAAGCUCGAAGGUGCGGGUAUCGAACAGGAUUAGAUACCCUGGUAGUCCGCACGGUAAACGAUGGAUGCCCGCUGUGUGCGAUACAUUGUACGCGGCCAAGCGAAAGCGUUAAGCAUCCCACCUGGGGAGUACGCCGGCAACGGUGAAACUCAAAUGAAUUGGCGGGG
rnacentral:rRNA from 1 species